rnacentral:lncRNA from 1 species
AUUUAUAUGUUUAACUAAUCAAAGAAAAGCUUUGGCAUAAAUUAAAAUGGAUGAAAACAAGAAGAUUGAAGUGAACACAAAUUGCAUAAAGGAAGAUUUAAUGUAUUGCAUAAAAAAAAAAUUAAAAGAUUUCAUAAAAAGAAAACAGAAAUUAACUUGAACCUAGAACAGGGAUUGCAUGAAAGAAAAUUGCUAGAUUUCAUAAAAAGAAAAUUGAUUACGAAUAAAAAUGGAGAUUGGA